rnacentral:rRNA from 1 species
GACGAACGCUGGCGGCGUGCUUAACACAUGCAAGUCGAACGGAAAGGCCUUUUCGGAGGUACUCGAGUGGCGAACGGGUGAGUAACACGUGGGUGAUCUGCCCUGCACUCUGGGAUAAGCCUGGGAAACUGGGUCUAAUACCGGAUAGGACCGCACUUUAGUGUGUGUGGUGGAAAGUUUUUUCGGUGUAGGAUGAGCCCGCGGCCUAUCAGCUUGUUGGUGGGGUAAUGGCCUACCAAGGCGGCGACGGGUAGCCGGACUGAGAGGUUGGUCGGCCACAUUGGGACUGAGAUACGGCACAGACUCCUACGGGAGGCAGCAGUGGGGAAUAUUGCACAAUGGGCGCAAGCCUGAUGCAGCGACGCCGCGUGGGGGAUGACGGCCUUCGGGUUGUAAACUCCUUUCGCCAGGGACGAAGCGUUUUGUGACGGUACCUGGAGAAGAAGCACCGGCUAACUACGUG